CCGCCAUUCCCUAACAACACACAACAUUCCAGGAAUGUACUACCAAAGUUCUAUCAAUAUUUGAAUGUCCUGGACAUUUAGGGAACAUUCGGUGAUAAGACAUUCUGUGAACAUACUACCAAUGUUGCUAAAUGUUCAUUUUCAAAUUCACGGCGCAUGUAUUUGUGCAUGGUGCUUAGAGAGGGCAUCACGUGACUAAAAACGACCAAUGACCUCACUUCGGACUUCGGCGCUUCGGCCAUCUUGGCAUGCAUCUUGGCCUUGGCCGUUGGCCACCUUGCCGUGAUCGUUGUUUGUUUUUAUUUGUGCUUUUUAAGAAUAUUUUUUUAAUUCGGAUACUUUUAUAACAGUGCAUAAAAUCAGUUGGAGUAGCAGAAGCAAUGUAGAUAAAAAAUCUGCAGGAAUAACGUUUCAAAGCUUUCCAGAAGAUCCUGCGAAGAAGGCAUGAAGUAUUGAUCAGAUUUGUUAAUAGAGCAGUAUGUUCAAAACAUUUUUUAGAAAAAGAUAUUGACAGAACUUCACUUUCAACUGUUCGUUUGAGAGACCGUGCUGUUCCAAUAGCUUAUAUCACAUAGAAUCAGCUGAGAUAAGUGGUCUACAAAAAACCAGGAAGGAAAUGGAAUAUGUGGCUAUGACAGGCAAAAGAAAGGUUUACAAAGCAAAUGUGACACAUUUUUUUAUAGGAAUAUCAGUAAAUUACAUUAAAAGAUUUUUUACAAUAAAAAUGUUUAUAUUUAUCAAGGAUGUAUUAUUUGGUAUGGCCACAUAUCGUCAGUGAUGUGACAAUACCUUCUAUCUGUUUUUUCAUAAGAUUUGUAAGAUAGACUAAAAACUUGUUUGGGCCACCUCCUGUUUUCAUAUAUUUUUUGACUUGUUUUGCAGUAAAUUUAACGGGUCUAGGACGUUUCAUCGCCGCCGUUUCGAUGCCGCCAGUUCGAUGUCGAUGCCGGCCGAUUCAUCGCCAGUCAAUUAAUCGCUAUCUGAUAUAUUUCCGAAUUUUCGACAGUUACAAUUAUUAGUUAUUUUUAGUAUUAAUAAGGAAUUCUAGGAAAUGCGAGAUAUGACGGCGAUGAAAUGGACUGGCGAUGAACCGGCGGCAUCGAAACGGCCGGCGAUGAACCGGCGGCAUCGAAACGUCCCAU